rnacentral:rRNA from 2 species
UGGGGAAUAUUGCACAAUGGGGGAAACCCUGAUGCAGCCAUGCCGCGUGUGUGUAGAAGGCCUUCGGGUUGUAAAGCACAUUCAGUCAGGAGGUAAGGUGGCUAGCUAAUAUCUAGUUGCUGUGACGUUACUGACAGAAGAAGCACCGGCUAACUCCGUUCAAGCAGCCGCGGUAAUACGGAGGGUGCAAGCGUUAAUCGGAAUUACUGGGCGUAAAGCGCACGCAGGCGGCUUGUUAAGUCAGAUGUGAAAGCCCCGGGCUCAACCUGGGAACUGCAUUUGAAACUGACAAGCUAGAGUCUUGUAGAGGGGGGUAGAAUUCCAGGUGUAGCGGUGAAAUGCGUAGAGAUCUGGAGGAAUACCGGUGGCGAAGGCGGCCCCCUGGACAGAGACUGACGCUCAGGUGCGAAAGCGUGGGGAGCAAACAGG